rnacentral:rRNA from 1 species
GAUGAACGCUGGCGGCGUGCUUAACACAUGCAAGUCGAACGGCAACGCCCUGCUUUUGUGCGCUGCUCGAGUGGCGAACGGGUGCGUAACACGUGUGUAUCCUGCCCUUGUUUUUCGUAUAACUUCACGAAACUGGGGUUAAUAUCGGAUCGCAGCUCCUGUUCCAUUGUGGGGGUUGGAACGUUUCGGCGGUUGGGGAUGGAUUGGCGGCUUAUCAGCUUGUUGGUUGGGUAGUGGCUUACCAAGGCUUUGACGGAUCCUCGACCUGUGAGGGUGGACAGGCACAAGAGGACUGAGAGACGGCCCAGUGGCCAACAGGAGACAGCGGUGGGGAGUAUUACACAGUGAGAGGGAGCCUGAUGCAGCGGCGCCGCGGGCGGAAUGACGGCCUGCGGGUAGAAAACCGCAUUCGCCUGAGACGAAGCGGGAGUGACGGUAAUGAAUAAAUAAGCACCGGCUAACUACGUG